CGCGUAGGCGGGAUGGCAAGUCGGUCGUGAAAUCCCUCGGCCCAACUGAGGAGCGUCGGCCGAUACUGCCAUUCUUGGGGAAUGCAGAGGAGACUGGAAUUCCCGGUGUAGCGGUGAAAUGUGUAGAGAUCGGGAGGAACACCGGUGGCGAAGGCGGGUCUCUGGGCAUCUCCUGACGCUGAGGCGCGAAAGCGUGGGAGCAAACG
rnacentral:rRNA from 1 species